rnacentral:rRNA from 1 species
UGUAAGCGUAUACCAAAGUUGUUGCAGUUAAAACGCUCGUAGUCGGAAUUUGGCAGUUCCGGAUGUGUGCACGUCGUGUGCGCACUUCGCGGGGAUUGCUUUUGUGGUCUUGCGUAGGAUGAGGCACUUUUAUUAGUGAACGUCCUCACGCAACCACUUUUUACUGUGAGAAAAUCAGAGUGCUCAAAGCAGGCAUUUGCCGUGAAUGUAUUAGCAUGGAAUAAUAGAAUAGGACUUGGUUCUAUUUUGUUGGUUUGUUGGGACUGAGUAAUGAUUAAGAGGAACAGUUGGGGGCAUUUGUAUUUCGGUGCUAGAGGUGAAAUUCUUAGAUUACCGAAAGACAAACUGCUGCGAAAGCGUCUGCCAAGGAUGUUUUCAUUGA